rnacentral:lncRNA from 1 species
CGACACACGGGACGCGUCAAAGGCGAGCGAUUUGACUUUGAAAAUUCUCUUUUAUUUUCUCGUUUUAUCAAAGAUCUUUUCACUGUCAGCGAUUGUUCAUUGUUAGUUCUGCCGUGUCCUGUUGACGAGAAUUAGAUAGUAGUCUUCAGCGUGAAAUAGUCUGGCUACGCGUCUGGUAAUACAUAAAGCUGUAAAUUCACUGUUUUUUAAAUCUUCUUAAAAUAGUGCAGAAUGGAGGAAAAAGAUAAAAAGAAAAGCGCCCUUACUAGACAAUGGCCAGAAGGCACCAGCUUGGUCGAAAGAAUUGAGGCCUAUCCCAAGAUGAUUGUAGGGUUACACGCACUGACUUCUUUCCUUGACGAGGCGGUGAUUUUCACCGGCAGGAAAGAAGAUAUUAUAAGUCGCAAAAUGUUUCGGCUGCGACUCAUAGACUACUGUUAUUUUAGGGAAAUGAUCGUCGUAAGUAACGUCCAGAUUGGUUGGUUAUUUAGCUAUGCGGGAAUUACAUCCCGUGCUGUGGGUGGGAAGAACAAUCAAGUGGUGUGUUAUUGUGGCCUUAAA